CCGGAGGUACAGUCACACCAUGACCGACGGAGGGUCAUUACACAAAUAUGAAGGCGGGCUGGAACCUCUCGGGGUUACAGCCUUGCUGAAUUAUUCACCCUUGUCUUUUGCGUACUUCUUGUUUCCUUGGUGGGUUCGCCCACCACUAGGACAAACAUAAACCUUUUGUAAUUGCAAUCAGCGUCAGUAACAAAUUAAUAAUUACAACUUUCAACAACGGAUCUCUUGGUUCUGGCAUCGAUGAAGAACGCAGCGAAAUGCGAUAAGUAGUGUGAAUUGCAGAAUUCAGUGAAUCAUCGAAUCUUUGAACGCACAUUGCGCCCUUUGGUAUUCCAAAGGGCAUGCCUGUUCGAGCGUCAUUUGUACCCUCAAGCUUUGCUUGGUGUUGGGCGUCUUGUCUCUAGCUUUGCUGGAGACUCGCCUUAAAGUAAUUGGCAGCCGGCCUACUGGUUUCGGAGCGCAGCACAAGUCGCACUCUCUAUCAGCAAAGGUCUAGCAUCCAUUAAGCCUUUUUUUCAACUUUUGACCUCGGAUCAGGUAGGGAUACCCGCUGAAC
rnacentral:rRNA from 1 species